rnacentral:rRNA from 1 species
AUUGAACGCUGGCGGCAUGCCUUACACAUGCAAGUCGAAUGGUAACGGGCCUUCGGGUGCCGACGAGUGGCGAACGGGUGAGUAAUGCAUCGGAACGUACCUUUCAGUGGGGGAUAACGUAGCGAAAGUUACGCUAAUACCGCAUAUUCUGUGAGCAGGAAAGCAGGGGAUCGCAAGACCUUGCGCUGAUUGAGCGGCCGAUGUCAGAUUAGCUAGUUGGUGAGGUAAAGGCUCACCAAGGCGACGAUCUGUAGCGGGUCUGAGAGGAUGAUCCGCCACACUGGGACUGAGACACGGCCCAGACUCCUACGGGAGGCAGCAGUGGGGAAUUUUGGACAAUGGGGGCAACCCUGAUCCAGCCAUGCCGCGUGAGUGAAGAAGGCCUUCGGGUUGUAAAGCUCUUUCGGCCGGGAAGAAAUCGCACGGGCUAAUACCCUGUGUGGAUGACGGUACCGGAAUAAGAAGCACCGGCUAACUACGUGCCAGCAGCCGCUGUAAAAC